UACGUCGGGUGCAAGCGUUGUCCGGAAUUAUUGGGCGUAAAGAGCUCGUAGGCGGUCUGUCGCGUCUGCUGUGAAAACUCAGGGCUUAACCCUGAGCUUGCAGUGGGUACGGGCAGACUAGAGUGCGGUAGGGGAGACUGGAAUUCCUGGUGUAGCGGUGAAAUGCGCAGAUAUCAGGAGGAACACCGGUGGCGAAGGCGGAUCUCUGGGCCAUUACUGACGCUGAGGAGCGAAAGCGUGGGGAGCGAACAGG
rnacentral:rRNA from 1 species